rnacentral:rRNA from 1 species
CCUACGGGAGGCAGCAGUGAGGAAUAUUGGUCAAUGGGCGCGAGCCUGAACCAGCCAAGUAGCGUGAAGGAUGACUGCCCUACGGGUUGUAAACUUCUUUUAUAAAGGAAUAAAGUGAGGCACGUGUGCCUUUUUGUAUGUACUUUAUGAAUAAGGAUCGGCUAACUCCGUGCCAGCAGCCGCGGUAAUACGGAGGAACCGAGCGUUAUCCGGAUUUAUUGGGUUUAAAGGGAGCGUAGAUGGGUUGUUAAGUCAGUUGUGAAAGUUUGCGGCUCAACCGUAAAAUUGCAAUUGAUACUGGCAGUCUUGCGUGGGCGAGAAGUCUGCGGCAUGCGUGGUGUAGCGG